CCUACGGGUGGCUGCAGUAGGGAAUAUUGGACAAUGGGCGAAAGCCUGAUCCAGCCAUGCCGCGUGUGUGAAGAAGGCCUUCGGGUUGUAAAGCACUUUCAGUGGGGAAGAAAGCCUUGGGGCUAAUACCCUCGAGGAAGGACAUCACCCACAGAAGAAGCACCGGCUAACUCCGUGCCAGCAGCCGCGGUAAUACGGAGGGUGCGAGCGUUAAUCGGAAUUACUGGGCGUAAAGCGCGCGUAGGCGGUCUGAUAAGCCGGUUGUGAAAGCCCCGGGCUCAACCUGGGAACGGCAUCCGGAACUGUCAGGCUAGAGUGCAGGAGAGGAAGGUAGAAUUCCCGGUGUAGCGGUGAAAUGCGUAGAGAUCGGGAGGAAUACCAGUGGCGAAGGCGGCCUUCUGGACUGACACUGACGCUGAGGUGCGAAAGCGUGGGUAGCAAACAGGAUUAGAUACCCCGGUAGUC
rnacentral:rRNA from 1 species